AGUUAUUAUUUGGGGGCAGAGUUGCUGAGAUUUGAUUCUCUCAUUGGUGAGUCAGUGCUUAAACAUUUGUGGCAUCAUCAGGAUGCCAUUUUGUGCUGUUCUUUGAAGUCGGUGCCAGUGUUUAUCUUUGCAAACCAAGCUGGCCUUGACAUGUUGGAAACAACUUUGGUGGCUUUACAAGACAUCACAUGGGUAUUUAGAGGAAGUGCCUUAUAUUAACUCCAUCUUGUGAAGGCAGAGAAAGCUAGAAGAUACAUUCCAAAAGAAUUCAAAUAGGUUGAAGCUUUUGGUGUUUCUCCGCGAGCCCAGAGCCACUACUAGACCCUGUUUUACUGUGCACCCACCCUCUGCCACUGUCGCUACCCCAGCGCCACCACUAGGCCGCCACCGUGUUGCUCCGGCCAUUCACUCAUCAUCAUCAAUCUUUCCCUUUCUUUCCCCUGUUCCAAUUCCCUGCUUCCCAGGGGGCCAAUAUUCUUGUAGAUAAUAAAGGUUGCAUUAAACUUGCAGAUUUUGGGGCCUCCAAACAAGUUGAGCUAGUUAUCUAAGUCUUCUUUACUUCUCUACUAUAGUACUAUUAGAUACACUAUUUUGACUUUGUGAGGAUCUUGUAUCUGCGUAUUUGUUUGAUUUAGGAGUUAUUUAUAACAUAGUCUCGAUUUUGUGUUUCUAUUAAUAUCUUAGUUAUUUAUAACUAUCUUUGAUGUGCAUCAUAUUCAUUACUUCACAUACAAAAAGAAAAGAUAAUUGAUAUUCAUUAUUCAUUAUGAUACAAAGAAAUCGAGCUAGCUAGUUCUAAAUUUCUAAUAGAAAGAGAUGGAACUGCUACAGUUUUGCGAUGGGGUUGCAACUCUUAUGGAGCACAUAGGUUCAUAAUACACUUAAUCUGAGCACAUUGCACCAUCAAUAUCUCAACCAAUCAUGUUUAUUUCUGAAGUUUGAAGAUUAUAUUAAAAAGAUAAUGACACUUGAUCAUUAUGAGUUAGAGAUACAGCAUUAUAAAUCAUUAUAUAUCGUUUUUGUUGGUUCAAUUUGUUUUUGAUAUUUUGCUGCAGGCUAGUAUUAGAAUGGAUUACUUGAACGUGCACAAAGUGGAGCAGUUUUAGGUUGAUUCUGAUCUUUUACCAAGUAUUUAGGUUGAUGAUCAUCUCUAUUAGUGUAAUUUGAUAUACUAUGAGCAGUUCUAACUUGUAUUGUUUUUGUAUUCUUCUUCGGUUUUUAGUUUUGGAAUUUGAACUCGAGAUUUAUUUUGUAUUUGAGUAUUAGUUUUUUAAUGUAUAAAACAAUUAUAGUAAAUUAUAUAUGUCACUAACUAUUGUUUGAUUUGUCUUGUAAUAAAAAUUGCAUACUAUAUUUGUAGGUUUGGUAAUAAAAAAGGAUUGAAAAUUUAUAUUGUGUAGUAAUGAAGAUCAAGUAAGGAAAAUAAAUAUUAUUUUUUUUUAAUUUAACAAGGCUUUUGCCACGCUUUUAAAGCGUGGCUGUAUAUCUUUGCUAUCGCCACGCUUCCAAAGCGUGGCCUAUCUCUCUCUAUCGUCACGCUUCUAAGGCCUGGCCGUAUCUUUCCCUAUGGCCACGCUUCUAAAGCGUGGCCGUAUCUCUCGCAUAUGGCCACGCUUUAAUGGGUGGCCAGUUGUAAAAAGCGUGGCAAAAGAAAAAGCGUGGCGAUAGGUCACCAAAAGCGUGGUGAUAGAGCAACCGCCACCCUUUGAUAGGUCACCCUUUCAAAAGCGUGGCGGUAGCUCAAAAAGCGUGGCGAAAAGUUAUCGCCACACUUUUUUCAGCUUUUCGCCACGCUUUAAAAGCGUGGCAAUAGACGUGUUUUCUUGUAGUGGUGUUUCCAUAAGGUUCACCCAUGUAAUUAACCUCUGCCAUGGUAGGGUUCUCAGGAUCAUAAGCUUCUUCAGAAGCUGCCUCUCUAGUA